CAGUGGUACAGCGCUGAUUAACAGUUGUAAUAUGCUGACUAAUUUCUGUAUCAGUAGCUCUACUACUGAA
rnacentral:pre_miRNA from 1 species